UCCAGGCCUGCCUGAACUACAUAGGAGAGCCUGUCUCCAGACAACAGAAUGUUCACACCUCCUUCCCACCGAGCCGGGCAUUUUGUUGGAGUCUUUUUCUCCAUAGAUCCCUGGCAGUCGUACAAGCCUCCCCAGUGCUGGGAUCACAAGUGUGCGCCACCACACCCAGCUCAGCCCUCGAUUUUCAAGGAGUGCUCUCUCCUCAUCCAGAGUAACUUCGUUUCUGCCCGCUUCGUGUCUGGGGGGCCCUGGCUGGGCAGCUCCCCACGUCACUCCCGCCCUGAAACACGGCUCUAGCCAACCUGCUUCGCUGCUUCACCUGCGACCGGCUCUGCGGGGGCUGCACGGCGCCAGCCCCGCCCG